rnacentral:sRNA from 1 species
AUUCUGCCCAUGCGGGGAAGGAUGAGAAGCUUCGACCAAAGUUCGACUCGAGCGCCAGCGAGAGAGCGUUGCCGCAGG